rnacentral:rRNA from 1 species
CCUUAACCUGCUAAAUAGCCCGACCCGCCUCGGCGGGCCGCCGGCUUCUUAGAGGGACUAUCGGCUCAAGCCGAUGGAAGUUUGAGGCAAUAACAGGUCUGUGAUGCCCUUAGAUGUUCUGGGCCGCACGCGCGCUACACUGACAGGGCCAACGAGUCUUCCACCUUGCCCGAAAGGGUUGGGUAAUCUUGUUAAACCCUGUCGUGCUGGGGAUCGGGCAUUGCAAUUAUUGCCCGUCAACGAGGAAUGCCUAGUAAGCGCAUGUCAUCAGCAUGCGUUGAUUACGUCCCUGCCCUUUGUACACACCGCCCGUCGCUACUACCGAUUGAAUGGCUCAGUGAGGCCUUCGGAGUGCUCCAGGGAGGUCGGCAACGACCACCCAGGAGCGCAAAGUUCGUCAAACUCGGUCAUUUAGAGGAAGUAAAAGUCG